UACAUGUGGGGCAAGUGUUGUUCGGAAUUACUGGGCAUAAAGGGUGCGUAGGUGGCUUGUUAAGUCAGGGGUGAAAGUUUUCGGCCCAACCGGAAAAUGGCCUUUGAUACUGGCGAGCUCGAGUGCGUGAGGGGUAACCGGAACGAGCAGUGUAGCGGUGAAAUGCGUAGAUAUUGCUCGGAAGGCCAACGGCGAAGGCAGGUUACUGGUACGCAACUGACACUGAGGCACGAAAGCGUGGGGAGCAAACAGGG
rnacentral:rRNA from 1 species